UCUAAUCAUUGUAUCAAUGGUUCUUGAGAUAACGUAAGGGAUAAAAAUGAUAGUACCUUACUAUAAGUGUUGUCCAACAAUACUGGUGCCAGAAGACUCGGUAACGCCAGAAACGCAAACGUUAGUCGUCCUAAUCAGGCGUAAAGGGUAAGUAGGCUGCUUUGAAAGUUGUUAAAUUAGAAAGCUCUUUAAAAAUUAAAUUAUUAAAAUUUAAAGUAAUUAAUAAUGAAUUAAAGCUAGAAUCAAAUAGGGGAUAAGCCAAAUAAUAUUUAGUGUAAGGCUAAUAUCUUUAGAUACUAAAUGGAAUACUAAGGUGAAAACUUUUAUCUACUAAUGAUUGACGCUGAGGAACGAAGGUGAGAAUAGAAAACAGGAUUAGAGACCCAGGUAUCUCUCACUGUCAACGAUGAAUGGUAGUUGUUAGUUAAACUAAACUAGUAACGAUGUUAACGCGUUAACCAUUCCGCCUUGCGAGUAC
rnacentral:rRNA from 1 species